GUGCCCCACCAAACAAAAUAAAUAAUCCCUUGCUCAAACUCUUGUCUAGGACCCCACACUUCAAAUAAGAAGCCCCCAAGUAACCACAAAAGUUCAACCACAAAACCUGCAGAUGCAAAUACCAAAGAUGUUUGCCUUGCGAGGAAAUCCCUGCACUUCACCGAUUAAAAACAAAGGGCGAAAGUCUUGGCCUCAUCAGCAGUUGCAGUUGCAGUAAAAGGAUAACUGGUAACUUCAAAAAGCGCGGUGCACGGCGGCAUCAAGGAAAUCAACUUUCGCCGAAUGCAAAUAAAGUAAAAGCAUCCUGAAUCUCAAUAAGGGACCCUGGGCGGUGUGGUCUGGGCUCUACGCACUUUUUCGCAGUAACGCAUAAUGCGGUCAAUGAACUGGGAAGGAGGCAAGACAAAAGCAGAGGCUCUGGCUGACUUUCCUGCUCUGUUGUCAACGGCAAGAUCUGAAAGGAUGCAGGUUAGGGUUAACCAGAUGCACUGAAACAAACCGUGGACAUACUAGGAUAGAGCUUCAUAAAUGCUAAUGUGGUAAACAAGUGUUACAGCGAGUAAGGACUCGCCUUUUAUUCCUCGUUAUUAUUUUUUGCAUUUCCAACUGCAACGCAAAACCUCAACAGCUGCUAAAAUGUGCGUAGCAACCCUCUGGUGCCCUACUAGGAUUGAACCCUUUUGAGGGUCUACAAAUGUACAACGGAUGUUCAUCAAAUUUAUUAUCCAAAUCAAAUCAGAAAUUGACAAAUUUCCCAUUUGGGACAGCAACUUUCACCACGCGGCUUAACCUUGGGUGCGAAAGAGGGAGUGACCUCCUAACCAACCACUUGAAAUAUUCUCAUGACCUCGAAAUACAAUUUUCUAUGCUCAAUACAAAGAAUUACAAAGAAAAUGAUUCGAGGCGAUCUGGGACUUUCACACAGAAAUUAGCAGGCAGUAAAUGCAGUUUAACUUGCAUUAGCACAGUGUGACAUUUCAUCAAGAUCCGAAGGGAACAGAGGGGGUGCCGAGUACCACUGACAACGCAGAUUGAGUCGCCACGCGCAAUUAAACUCGCAACUCGCAAAGGAGUGUGACAAAUUUCUACGAAGAGCCCUCUUCAAAGGCAUACACUUGGAAAAAAUACUCCUAUUUCCAUUCCAACGUUCAAUUUUUAUUAAUAGCUACAAAAAUAGGAAGGCCAAAUACAAAUAAGUUCUAAAAACUUGUCUA